rnacentral:rRNA from 1 species
UGGCGCACGGGUGCGUAACACGUAUGCAACCUACCUUAUAGACGGGGAUAGCCUUUGGAAACGGAGAUUAAUACCCGAUAGCAUAUAUUGAUGGCAUCAUUAAUAUAUUAAAGAUUUAUCGCUAUAAGCUGGGCAUGCGUCCAAUUAGUUAGUUGGUGAGGUAACGGCUCACCAAGACGAUGAUUGGUAGGGGAACUGAGAGGUUAAUCCCCCACACUGGCACUGAGAUACGGGCCAGACUCCUACGGGAGGCAGCAGUAGGGAAUAUUGGGCAAUGGAGGCAACUCUGACCCAGCCAUGCCGCGUGCAGGAUGAAGGCGUUAUGCGUUGUAAACUGCUUUUAUAUAGGAAGAAAUAGACCUUGCGAGGUAAGUUGACGGUACUAUAUGAAUAAGCACCGGCUAACUCCGUGCCAGCAGCCGCGGUAAUACGGAGGGUGCAAGCGUUGUCCGGAUUUAUUGGGUUUAAAGGGUGCGUAGGCGGUUUAUUAAGUCAGUGGUGAAAGACGGUCGCUCAACGAUUGCAGUGCCAUUGAUAC